rnacentral:rRNA from 1 species
AUAAGCCUACGGGAGGCAGCAGUGAGGAAUAUUGGUCAAUGGCCGAGAGGCUGAACCAGCCACGUCGCGUGAGGGAAGACGGCCCUACGGGUUGUAACCCUCUUUUGUCGGGGGGCAAAGCGAGUCACGUGCGACUCAUUGCGAGUACCCGAAGAAAAAGCAUCGGCUAACUCCGUGCCAGCAGCCGCGGUAAUACGGAGGAUGCGAGCGUUAUCCGGAUUUAUUGGGUUUAAAGGGUGCGCAGGCGGGGGUGCAAGUCAGCGGUCAAAUUGCGGGGCUCAACCCCGUACUGCCGUUGAAACUGG